UACGGGGGGGGCAAGCGUUGUUCGGAAUUACUGGGCGUAAAGGGCUCGUAGGCGGCCAACUAAGUCAGACGUGAAAUCCCUCGGCUUAACCGGGGAACUGCGUCUGAUACUGGAUGGCUAGAGUUUGGGAGAGGGAUGCGGAAUUCCAGGUGUAGCGGUGAAAUGCGUAGAUAUCUGGAGGAACACCUGUGGCGAAAGCGGCUCACUGGACCGCAACUGACGCUGAGGCGCGAAAGCUAGGGGAGCAAACAGG
rnacentral:rRNA from 1 species